UUGAUCCUGGCUCAGAAUCAACGCUGGCGGCGUGCCUAACACAUGCAAGUCGAACGCGAAAGUCCCGCAAGGGAUGAGUAGAGUGGCAAACGGGUGAGUUACACGUGGGUGACCUGCCUUCGAGUGGGGGAUAACGUCCCGAAAGGGACUCUAAUACCGCAUAACAUCCUGCCUUUGAAGAGGUGGAGAUCAAAGCUGGUGAUCGCAAGACCUAGCGCUGGAAGAGGGGCCCGCGUCUGAUUAGCUAGUUGGUGGGGUAAUGGCUCACCAAGGCAACGAUCAGUAUCCGGCCUGAGAGGUCGGACGGACACACUGGGACUGAGACACGGCCCAGACUCCUACGGGAGGCUGCAGUGGGGAAUUGUUCGCAAUGGGCGCAAGCCUGACGACGCAACGCCGUGUGGAGGAUGAAGACCUUCGGGUCGUAAACUCCUUUCGAUCGAGACGAAUGGCUCCCGGACGAAUAAUUCGGGAGGGUGACGGUACCGAGAGAAGAAGCUCCGGCUAACUCCGUGCCAGCAGCCGCGGUAAUAAGGU
rnacentral:rRNA from 1 species